rnacentral:lncRNA from 1 species
AAAUACUUUUGGUGUCAACACUUGGGUGUGAUAUAUCUCACGCAAAAAUAAGGGGAGCGUGGGAUAUAUGUGGCGGCUCCUCAUGGGGCUUCCUCAUGACGCAAAGAGAGAUGGAGUCCUAGUCAAUUGAGACUCCUUUUUAGAUGGCUGAUUUAAAUCAAAUAAAACUCUAAUCAAUCUCAAUCGAAUUAAAAAUUUAUUAGACCCAAAUAGAUUGAAAUCUUAAUCUGAUUAGGAGCUC